UACGAACUGUGCGAACGUUAUUCGGAAUCACUGGGCUUACAGGGUGCGUAGGCGGCUUGGUGGGUCUGGUGUGAAAGCCCCGGGCUCAGCCCGGGAAGGGCACUAGAAACUGCCGAGCUGGAGUGCCGGAGGGGAGAGUGGAAUUCCUGGUGUAGCGGUGAAAUGCGCAGAUAUCAGGAAGAACACCCGUGGCGAAGGCGGUUCUCUGGGACGGUACUGACGCUGAGACGCGAAAGCGUGGGGAGCGAACAGG
rnacentral:rRNA from 1 species